AAAAUACCAGAGACUGCAUGUCCUAAAGAAGACAUUUAUUUCUCACAAUUCUGAAGGCCGAGAAGUCCAAGAUCAACAUACGGGCCAAUUUAAUUUCUGUUUAUUUUAGGAAGUCUGCUGUCUCCCCAUCCUCCACUAAACAGAAGCUCCAGAGAAAUAAGGACUUUGCCAGCCUCCGUCUUGAGACCUUAGAACAGUGCAUGGCACAGAGCAGGUCUUCACUAAGCAUUUGUUGAAAAUACUUAUCCUUGCUGCUGCCAUGUGAAGAAGGACGUGUUUGCUUCCUCUUUCGACAUGAUUGUAAGUUUCCUGAAGCCACCCCAGCCCUGCGGAACUGUGAAUCAAUUAAACCUCUUUCCUUUAUAAAUUACCCAGUUUCAGGUAUGUCUUUGUUAGUAGUGUGAGAAUAGACUGAUACAGAAGGCUAAGUAUAUUGGCUCUUGAGCUCUAGUUUAAUGACUAUGGUGCAGUUUGAUUUAAGAUAAGUCAAAUUCUUAUUGCUUUAAUUACAUUUUCCCCCUGAUUCACAGAGAGAACAAUAACCUCC
rnacentral:lncRNA from 13 species